rnacentral:rRNA from 1 species
CACGUAGGGGACGAGCGUUGUCCGGAUUCAUUGGGCGUAAAGCGCGCGCAGGCGGUCGUUCAAGUCGCGUGUGAAAGCCCCCGGCUCAACUGGGGAGGGUCACGCGAUACUGAUCGACUCGAAGGCAGGAGAGGGUAAUGGAAUUCCCGGUGUAGUGGUGAAAUGCGUAGAUAUCGGGAGGAACACCAGUGGCGAAGGCGACUACCUGGCCUGUUCUUGACGCUGAGGCGCGAAAGCUAGGGGAGCAAACGGG